GCUGUGCAGUGGUAUGCACCUGUGGUCCAGCUACUCAGGAAGGAGGCUAAGGUGGGAGAACUGCUUGAGCCCAGAAGUUCUGGGCUGUAGUGCACUAUGCCAACUGGGUGUUUGCACUAAAUUCAGGAUCAAUAUGGUGACCUCCUGGGAGCAGGGGAUUACCAGGUUGCCUAAGGAGGAGUGAACUGGCCCAGACUGGAAACUGAGCAGAUAAAAACUCCCAUGCUAAGCAGUAGUGGGACUGUACGCCAGCCUGGGCAACAUAGUACAACCCCCAUCUCU
rnacentral:SRP_RNA from 1 species